GCUCAGGACGAACGCUGGCGGCGUGCUUAACACAUGCAAGUCGAACGGUGAUGUCAGAGCUUGCUCUGGCGGAUCAGUGGCGAACGGGUGAGUAACACGUGAGUAACCUGCCCCCGACUCUGGGAUAACUGCUAGAAAUGGUAGCUAAUACCGGAUAUGACGAUUGGCCGCAUGGUCUGGUCGUGGAAAGAAUUUCGGUUGGGGAUGGACUCGCGGCCUAUCAGGUUGUUGGUGAGGUAAUGGCUCACCAAGCCUACGACGGGUAGCCGGCCUGAGAGGGUGACCGGCCACACUGGGACUGAGACACGGCCCAGACUCCUACGGGAGGCAGCAGUGGGGAAUAUUGCACAAUGGGCGAAAGCCUGAUGCAGCAACGCCGCGUGAGGGAUGACGGCCUUCGGGUUGUAAACCUCUUUUAGUAGGGAAGAAGCGAAA
rnacentral:rRNA from 1 species